UUUACCUUCUUUCACCAUUGCUUUGGACACAGUGUUGGGGGAAGGAAAGAGAUCAACCACUUGAGCUUCUCCUGAAUGACUGCUGCCAUCUAAUCUGUGCCCACAACUGCUCAUCACUUCAGCUGAAAAAUGAGGCAAACAGCCACCAGGCAGACGUGACAGCUCUGUGCCAUGCAGCAGAGGAACAGUGAAAUGCACAGAGCAGAGGAUUUAGCCUGCUUGCAACCCCCAUGGCACCAUAAAUAUGGAGAUUGCUCAAUGGAGAAGUUGCCUUCUGCAGAGCAGAAAAGCUCCACAGUAGAACAUCUGCACAGAGGAAGGAGCUGAAGAUAAACAUCUCCAUGCCCUCAGUGAGUUUCCAUGUGUCUAUUGAUUGUUGACAGCAUCCAACUCUCCUGCUUUCAGGAAUGUGCCGAUUCAAGUCAGCAUCUGCUCAAUGCUACAUUUUUAGCUCAAGAACAUAUUGCUCUUCAGAUACAAACAAGUGAUAUCCCAACAUCUGAAUCUAUUUGUGGAGAAGUGUGCUGAGGAAUGAAGCUGCAAUAAAACCUUUUGCAGGACUUAUUCAAAAGCAAACUGAUUUUUUUCUCUCUCUCUUUACCUUAAAAUCACUCCAUGUUAAAGAGAAUUGCUGUUUCUUGAGGCAAAAAAAAAUAAUAAUAAUAAAGUUUGGUAUAUAUCUCUCCAUAUCUCGACCCUGAUUAAACAAUAUCCACUUCCACUCACACAUGCCUUUAUAGACCUUCAUUCCAUGCUUAAUAGUAGAAUCAUAGAAUAUCCUGAAUUUGAAGGGACCCACAAGAAUGAUGGAGCUCAAUACAUGCUGUUUCAAUUUUAUAUCCUCAUCAGAUUCCUGAAGACUAAUUCCUCUAAAUGUUGAAAAUUAUCCCUUGACUAAAAGAAUUACAGACUGAUAAUACAUGUCAAGUUCAACUAAGCACACUGUGUAGGAGCAGGAGAGGAUGAGGCUGCCUCUGAUGGUCUCAUUAGAGUUCACUACAUCAGCUUUGAAAGGUUUCUCUGCUGACCUCAGCACCCACACUGCUGGCAUGAGUGUGUUUGCUUAAAAUAGG